AGGCAGCGAGAAAAAAAAACCAAGCGUUUGGCAUUAAAUGUCAUAUUGACGUAUCAAUAUAUUGGAUUUUUUUUAUGCGCUUGUUCUGUGCCACGGUCGCGCGAUUGCAGUGUGCUUCGUCCACACCACCACGGACCGGGGCAAGCUGGUGCAGCUCGACUGGCAAACAAUCAGUCCAGGAAUUGGCGCUGGUCCGGUCACAAUUGGCCCCGGUGGUGCGCGAACGAUCGGAACUCCAAUUCGGUCGUAAUUCAAUAUUUUAUUUAACUCGGCUGUGCGGAUAUUCAUUUUUAUUGGAUUGUAAAUUUGUGAGUGAGAGUAAAUUUUGUGACAGUUUUUCCCGGUGUGUGGGAGGGGUUGAAGCGUAAAUUAAAGUCUCACUUCCAGGGAGUCGUUGGUGGCUGCAGCGUUGUUACCAGCCCAGCAGGAGCAUUCAGAAAGACCAAUCAGGGCAAACAAUAGCCAGCGAGAGAAUGAUGGAUCAUGCGGUUAUUUCCAAGUAUACGGACACGCGGGUGAAAAUUUCUGGAUGGGACGAACGCGUGCAGCAAUAUCCUAAGGACUGUCAGUGCUGCUCGGUGGGGAGAGCCACCUACCGUACUUUUGGCUACUCAACCAAACACUUCAUUCCGAAGACCACCACUCAGGCAAUGUACGAGGACGUCUGGAAUGAUAUGUGUCCUCACCGGAGACGGUCCCGCUUCGAAGACUGCGAAAUGUACCGUUCCACAUACCAGACCGACUUUGGCAACCGGUUCCCUCUGGUGUACUAAUCGUUUCCGAGAGGGCACACUCUCCGCCAUCCAUGUAGUGAAUAGAAAGUUUAGAGAUAAUGGUGAUUAAUGAGACCUGCUAGCGAGCUGCUGCUGCUGCUGACCAGACUUGGGUCUCUCGGACGGGUCCCCAAAAUUGCCAAGCACACUGACGGCACUACACCGGCCGAGAUCAUAAUCAGCUCUGAAAUCCCUACUGCCUCCUGACGUGGUCCGGCUAUGACCAGCUUUAGCAGCGUGGACGUGUGCGGUCAUCCAAAAAAGUGAACUGUGGCGACUAAAUCUACAGAUGAUGAUUAUUUACGAUAGCGAAGUGGGACCAUCCGGUCGGUUGGUUUGGCUGGACGCAGAACCGCAGGGCCGCAGGCAGGCUGCACCACUCACGGAAAGGAUAAUUUAUGGCCGGAAUUAGUUCGAAGCGACGUCGUGCGGUGUGCUGCGUGAAGCGUGUGUCAAGUUCCUAAAUUCUAAAUAAAGCCAAAUUGAGUAGAGUGAUUUCGCGCGACGACGAUGCUCUAAUUAGUUUUCCUCCCCAGGGAUUAGGAGAAACAUUUCUCAGCGUAAUUGGUAAUUGAUCAGGUUGAAUAGCAGGCAAGAUGCGGCUUGAAAUGUACAUAGCUUUUUUUAUGUUUAAGAUACGGAGUAAAAAGGGAAAUGUAAACUUUUUGGUUGAGUCCGAGAUAAGUGCAGCAAAAGAUUUAUGAGUUGCAGCGAUAUGUUGACAUAA